rnacentral:rRNA from 1 species
UUGAGAGUUUGAUCCUGGCUCAGAACGAACGCUGGCGGCAUGCCUAACACAUGCAAGUCGAGCGCACCUUCGGGUGAGCGGCGGACGGGUUAGUAACGCGUGGGAAUAUGCCCUUCUCUACGGAAUAGCCAUUGGAAACGAUGAGUAAUACCGUAUACGCCCUUUGGGGGAAAGAUUUAUCGGAGAAGGAUUAGCCCGCGUUAGAUUAGAUAGUUGGUGGGGUAAUGGCCUACCAAGUCUACGAUCUAUAGCUGGUUUUAGAGGAUGAUCAGCAACAUUGGGACUGAGACACGGCCCAGACUCCUACGGGAGGCAGCAGUGGGGAAUCUUAGACAAUGGGCGCAAGCCUGAUCUAGCCAUGCCGCGUGUGUGAUGAAGGUCUUAGGAUCGUAAAGCACUUUCGCCAGGGAUGAUAAUGACAGUACCUGGUAAAGAAACCCCGGCUAACUCCGUGCCAGCAGCCGCGGUAAUACGGAGGGGGCAAGCGUUAUUCAGUUUAAUUUGGUGUAAAGGGUUCGUAGGUUGUAUUUAGGUUGUUUAAAUUAAAAUCAAGAGACUUAACCUCUUUAAUAUUUUUAAAAACACUUUUACUAGAGUAUAAAAAAAGAUUAUAGAAUUUUAAGGGUAGAGAUAAAAUUCUAAGAUCCUUAAAGGAACACCAAAAGCGAAAGCAAUAGUCUUGUUUAUUACUGACACUGAGGAACGAAAGGAUAGGGAGCAAACAGGAUUAGUGACCCUGGUAGUCUAUCCCGUAAACUAUGAGUGCUGAUAUUUAGAAUUUAAAAUUUUGGGUAUUAAGUUAACACGUUAAGCACUCCACCUGAGGAGUAUAGUCGCAAGGCUGGAACUCAAAGGAAUUGACGGGGGCC